rnacentral:lncRNA from 1 species
AUUAAAUUCAAAUUAGAAAAAGAAAAAGAAAAAGAAAAAGAAAAAAAAGUAACUUCUCCUUCAAAUCGUAAAUGUUUACUUAAAGAAAAAGAAAACAGUACAAACGGUCAGAAAAAAUCAGUUAGCAUAAAUAAUAAUAUACUAGAACAAAAACGCAAGGAGGGUGAUAAGUUAGCAGGGACUGCUAUUCCUAAUCUAAUAAAAACGAUCGAAAUUUAUAAAAACAGAGCUAUAGAAGAAGAAAGAAGAAAAAGGCUUUUAGUUCAAAAAUAUGAGAAAAUGUUAAGAAAUGUUAAAAAGAAGCAUAUGCAAGAAAUCAAUGAAAUCAAAAAUAACAUUCUCAUGGAUGUUGAUUUUAUAAUACAGAAGUAUAGAAAUAUAUCAAUGGAAUUACUAGAAAUUAGUAAAGAGAAAGAAAAAGAAAAAGUAGAAGAGAAAAAAAAAAUAUCUGAAAUAUGUGUUAUGGCUUGUAAAAGGUUUGAAGAGGAUGUAAAGAAAAAAGCUACGGAAUCUAUACAGGAACAUGAAUCUGAAAUGCUUAAUUCUUUAUACGCUAUUAAAAGAGAAAAAGAAGAUAUCGAAAAAAAAUACAUAGAGUUAAAAAACAAGAAGGAAAAAAACCGUUGUAAUGAAAAAAGACAAACUGUGUUUGAACAUAAAAUGAAAAAAGAACAAGCCUUAAUUAGAGACCACAAAAAUAAUAUGCCAUUUGAAAAAGACCAGCAAAACCAUAUAAUAAAGAGUAUAUAUACAAAGGUCGACUCACAAAUCAAAACGUAUGAAGAGAACAUUGUGAAAGUAUUUCACAACAUACUUGUGAAAAAUAACAUCAAUUUAGGUAUUGAUGAAUUGUCACAACAAAUUAAAGACGUAAUGAUAAAACAAUGUGGAAGCUAGUGCUUAAGCAUUGACAUGCGACUUUAAAUAUUAAAAAAAUGAAAUAAAAUAAAAUAAUGUACAUUUAUAUAAUACUAA